rnacentral:lncRNA from 1 species
GUUUGUGAAGCACCUUCUAGCAGUUAUCUUAGAGAUGUAAGUUCAUUUACUUGUCCAGCACUAAAAGGCCAAAGGGGCUUGUUUUCUCACCCAAAAGACCUUCCUGAGGCAGCUGUUCGGAUACAUGCAGAGCACAGCGCCCUGCUCAGAAAGGAAGGUUCAGAGAACAAAUUGUCGUUUAAAACUAUUGGGACAAACCUACCUCUUCUAAAGCUUAAAAUGGUCUCCAGCGUACCAGGAUUUGUGAAGGCCUGAAGUUCGUAGAAUGAAAUCUAUGUGGAGAUGAUUUAAAAGAACGGUUUCACUGCUGUCUCCUCUCUGUCCCUUUUUAGAGACCAACACAUAUAAACCAAGUCUACACAAGAAACAAAGCUAAAAUCCUUUCGAAAUGAGUUCCUUUAAGUUCUUCAGUAACUAAAUCCUCCAGAAAGGAAAGCCGAGAGAAUCUAGUCCUAUACAAUAACACCCUCUAACAAAGAUCGCUAAAGGAAGAUUUUAGUAGAUGAAUAUCUUCAAUAAUACAUGGUCACAUACAUGUAUCUGACCAUAUGAUGGCUCUCUGCACCAAAUUCCUCCAAACUAUUAUAAUAUGUAUUGUCUGUAGUGCUAUUUAUUUGGCAGUUAAUCAUGUAUUACAUUGUGACAUUUCUUACAGUGAACCAUUAUGUAUGUGUUUAUGUUCUGCCCUCAACUACUCAAUGCCAGUACCUUAUUCUUAACACAGCAACCACCCUUUCUGGUCUGUCCUCACACCCUCAUUCCCAUCAUAGUUAUUCUCCUCUCUCAUGGAAAUGUUCAGUUUCUGGACAUCUCCUUUCUCUUCCAUUCUUCACCUGACCUUCCUUCCUUUCUUGGCCAGCCUGAAUAUUAUAAAGGGAAUUUUAUUUCAAACCCAGGAUCGCACUUAAGAGGAAAAGAAACAAAAGCCAGUUCUUUUUAUUGCACAUAGAACAAGGAGAAACUCCACCCCUUUUGUUGUCUGGUAUGUUUAAAACAAGAAAGAACUUUAGAAAAGUAGGAUAUGAGUGAAAAUUACAACCAAUGUUGAGAACUACUUUUUAAUUUUUUAUUACAAAAUUAGGAUGAUACUUCAUUAAACAUUGUACAUCAUUUCAAAACUGUUAUCUCAUAAUCAUGU